GCCACAGGGGCGUCCAGAACACUCCAGACCACCUCCCUCCCCACCCACCACUUGUUUGGGUGGCUUUAAAGAGUUGAGUAAAAUCAAGCUGGUAACCAACUAUGACUGAAGGAGGAUUUGAUCCCUGUGAAUGUAUUUGCUCUCAUGAACGCACUAUGAGAAGACUCAUCAAUCUGCUCCGGCAGUCCCGGGCCUAUUGUACCAACACAGAAUGCCUUCGGGAAUUGCCAGGGCCCUCCGGUGACAGUGGCAUCAGCAUCACUGUGAUCUUGAUGGCCUGGAUGGUGAUCGCUGUGCUCCUCUUUCUACUGAGGCCUCCUCACCUGAGAGGCUUCAGCCUUCCUGGAAAGCCCUCCAGUCCUCACAGUGGACAGGUCCCG
rnacentral:lncRNA from 1 species